rnacentral:misc_RNA from 1 species
UGGAUCUUCAAAUGCACGUAACACAUGAAAAAUGCCAUCAACUGCACGAAUGUGAGAUAAGAAAUUGUUGCCCAAGCCUUGCCCCUGAUGGGCACCUCUAACCAGUCCAGCUAUAUCAUGGAUUUCCAAGAAAGCUGAAACCUCGCUUUUUGGCUUAUACAGUUGGCAAAGCCAUUCGAAUCUUUCAUCAGGGAUAUAAACCCGUGCUUCAUUAGGCUCAAUGGUACAAAAGGGAAAAUUUUCAG